UUGGGAAUAUUGGACAAUGGAGGAAACUCUGAUCCAGUGACGCCGCGUGAAGGAAGAAGGUCUUCGGAUUGUAAACUUAUUUUGUCAGGGAAGAAACAAAUGACUGUACCUGAAGAAAAAGCACCGGCUAACUACGUGCCAGCAGCCGCGGUAAUACGUAGGGUGCAAGCGUUAUCCGGAUUUACUGGGUGUAAAGGGCGAGUAGACGGCGAUGCAAGUCAGAUGUGAAAUGCUAGGGCUUAACCUUAGAACUGCAUCUGAAACUGCAUUGCUAGAGUGCAGGAGAGGUAAGCGGAAUUCCUA
rnacentral:rRNA from 1 species